rnacentral:tRNA from 1 species
GCUCACAUAGCUCAGUUGGUAGAGCACGUCCUUGGUAAGGACGAGGUCAUCGGUUCGAGUCCGAUUGUGAGCACCA